rnacentral:rRNA from 1 species
AUUGAACGCUGGCGGCAUGCUUUACACAUGCAAGUCGAACGGUAACAGGCCGCAAGGUGCUGACGAGUGGCGAACGGGUGAGUAAUGCAUCGGAACGUGCCCAGUCGUGGGGGAUAACGCAGCGAAAGCUGCGCUAAUACCGCAUACGAUCUAUGGAUGAAAGCGGGGGACCGUAAGGCCUCGCGCGAUUGGAGCGGCCGAUGUCAGAUUAGGUAGUUGGUGGGGUAAAGGCUCACCAAGCCGACGAUCUGUAGCUGGUCGGAGAGGACGACCAGCCACACUGGGACUGAGACACGGCCCAGACUCCUACGGGAGGCAGCAGUGGGGAAUUUUGGACAAUGGGCGCAAGCCUGAUCCAGCAAUGCCGCGUGCAGGAAGAAGGCCUUCGGGUUGUAAACUGCUUUUGUACGGAACGAAACGGCUCUGGUUAAUACCCGGGGCUAAUGACGGUACCGUAAGAAUAAGCACCGGCUAACUACGUGCCAGCAGCCGCCGUAAUAC